ACUCCAACCUUGACCGCAGCAGAGAGAUCUCGCUAAAAUCUCGCCGAGGAGGGCGAGGGGUUUGGAAUUGGCGCCAACCAUUCCCCCCCAAAUCCCUCCCCCAACCCUAGGGUUUCCGCCUCUCGCUGCUCCGCCAUGGCGGGCGCCGCCGCCGCCGCUCCGAUGGACAUCGACGGCGCCGCCGCGCCCCCGGCCUUCAAGGGCAAGGCGCCGCUCUCCGCCGCCGCCGCCGUCAAGUCCUCGCCCUGGGUCGAGAAGUACCGGCCCCAGUCCCUCGCCGACGUCGCCGCCCACCGCGACAUCGUCGACACCAUUGACAGACUUACAGACGAGAAUAGGCUUCCCCAUUUGUUGCUCUACGGUCCACCUGGCACUGGGAAAACAUCGACAAUACUAGCUGUCGCGAGGAAGAUAUAUGGCGCACAGUAUGGCAACAUGAUUCUGGAGCUCAAUGCAUCAGAUGAACGUGGAAUUGGUGUUGUAAGGCAGCAGAUACAGGACUUUGCUAGUGCACACAGCCUCUCUUUUGGAGCAAAGCCUGCUGUUAAGUUGGUCCUCUUGGAUGAAGCAGAUGCCAUGACCAAGGAUGCACAAUUUGCAUUGCGAAGAGUCAUUGAGAAGUAUACAAGGAGCACAAGGUUUGCACUCAUAUGCAAUCAUGUGAACAAAAUCAUCCCGGCACUGCAAUCAAGGUGCACUAGGUUUAGGUUUGCUCCACUUGAUGGCUCUCAUGUUACUGAGCGUCUUCGACAUAUAAUAAAAUCUGAGGGGCUUGAUGUAGAUGAGGGUGGCUUGACUGCCCUUGUGCGGUUAAGUAACGGUGACAUGAGGAAGUCAUUGAAUAUAUUGCAGUCAACACACAUGGCAUCCCAGCAAAUAACAGAAGAAGCUGUCUACCUUUGCACGGGAAACCCCAUGCCUAAAGAUAUUGAGCAGAUAGCGUUUUGGUUACUAAAUGAACCAUUUUCAACCAGCUUCAAACAUAUAGCUGAUAUGAAGAUGAGAAAAGGUCUGGCCUUGAUUGAUAUCAUACGGGAGGUCACUAUGUUUGUGUUCAAAAUAAAAAUGCCAUCCAAUGUACGAGUAAAGUUGAUCAAUGAUUUGGCAGAUAUCGAAAAGUGAAUUCUCUACAUGUUUCGUUGAAGUAAUUACUUGUGGAAAAGCUCUGCAUAUCUGAAAAUUUUUAGGUGGUACCGUAUUAGAUAUUGGACACUGACAUAAAACGAUCCUUGGAAAUAUUUCUGGGCAUUUGAGUUAUUUUCUGCUAGGAAGGUAUCGGCUUACCUUCGCCUGCAAUGAUAAACUUCAGCUUGGGGCACUGAUCUCGACUUUCACGACUGCACGCACGGCUAUGGUUGCUGCUGCAGACUAAUUUGAACAUGGCCCACCAUGGAUGCCUACUUGGAUCUGGAAAUGUUGUGGCAGCUUAUUUAUCUCCUUUGUAGUUACUUCAAAGUGCAUUGAGCAGAAAAUUCUCAUGUUAGAUCCGCUCAUCUGCUCGGCGUGCUAGCUGCUUGGGAUCUUGGAAGGUGUUUUAGAACUGAACUGUAACUGAUUGUUGUCAGGUUUAGGUGAUGUAUGGACGUAUGGUGCAUGCUACCCCCUCUGUCCCCAAAAUCUAGAUACAUCUAUAUCCAGACAAAUCUAAGACGAGCUUUUUGGGACGGAGGUAGGGAGUCAUUCGCAACUCAACUAAUUAGGUUGCGCAGUAUUGUUGUGGAAACAAAAUUCAAGAUGAGCAAUUAUUUUGAUCA